GCCAAAAAAAUUACGGAAAACCGAAGCUUACCGGCGGUGGUGCUCUCGGGUGCGGCGGCUCUCCGGUGAGGUUCGUGUUUUGGUGAUUCGACUCCGAUCAACCUGUAGAGAAAAGAAUGGUGAUCACGGUGAUAUAAAAAUUGAUCAAACCGAGGCCGGGAAGGGCCUCAUCGGAGGCAAAAAUCGAGGAGGGGUGCGGCGGCGCCGCU
rnacentral:lncRNA from 1 species